GGGAGCCUACGGGGCGCAGCAGUGAGGAAUAUUGGUCAAUGGUCGGGAGACUGAACCAGCCAAGCCGCGUGAGGGAGGAAGGUACAGAGUAUCGUAAACCUCUUUUGUCAGGGAACAAAGACUGGGACGCGUCCCCGGAUGAGUGUACCUGAAGAAAAAGCAUCGGCUAACUCCGUGCCAGCAGCCGCGGUAAUACGGAGGAUGCGAGCGUUAUCCGGAUUUAUUGGGUUUAAAGGGUGCGCAGGCGGUCUGUUAAGUCAGCGGUCAAAGCCCGGGGCUCAACCCGGCCCGCCGUGGAAACUGGC
rnacentral:rRNA from 1 species